rnacentral:rRNA from 1 species
GCUUACGGCCACCACCGCCUGGUUCACGCCGAUCUCUUUGAUCUCGGAAGCUAAGGUAGGUUGGGCCUGGUUAGUACUUGGAUGGGAGACCGCCUGGGAAUACCAGGUGCUGUAAAGC